AACGUAGGAGACAAACGUUAUCCGGAGUUACUGGGCGUAAAGGGCGUGUAGGCGGUUUGUUAAGUCUGGCGUGAAAGCUCUCGGCUAAACCGGGAGAGGUCGUUGGAUACUGGCGAACUAGAGGAUGGUAGAGGCGUGUGGAAUUCCGGGUGUAGUGGUGAAAUGCGUAGAGAUCCGGAGGAACACCAGUGGCGAAGGCGGCCACCUGGACGGUAACUGACGCUGAGACGCGAAAGCGUGGGGAGCAAACAGG
rnacentral:rRNA from 1 species